GCGCUCGUGGCUCAGCUGGAUAGAGCAUCGGACUACGAAUCCGAAGGUCACAGGUUCGAAUCCUGUCGAGCGUGCAA
rnacentral:tRNA from 1 species